ACAGCAGCAGCCACGGUAAUACGUAGGUCCCGAGCGUUGUCCGGAUUUAUUGGGCGUAAAGGGAGCGCAGGCGGUUAGAUAAGUCUGAAGUUAAAGGCUGUGGCUUAACCAUAGUACGCUUUGGAAACUGUUUAACUUGAGUGCAAGAGGGGAGAGUGGAAUUCCAUGUGUAGCGGUGAAAUGCGUAGAUAUAUGGAGGAACACCGGUGGCGAAAGCGGCUCUCUGGCUUGUAACUGACGCUGAGGCUCGAAAGCGUGGGGAGCAAACAGGAUUAGAUACCCCCGUAGUCCCUGUCUCUUAUACA
rnacentral:rRNA from 1 species